rnacentral:rRNA from 1 species
GAUCAUGGCUCAGGACGAACGCUGGCGGCGCGCCUAACACAUGCAAGUCGAACGGAGCUUAGAGAGCUUGCUUUUUAAGCUUAGUGGCGAACGGGUGAGUAACGCGUGAGUAACCUGCCCUAGAGUGGGGGACAACAGUUGGAAACGACUGCUAAUACCGCAUAAGCCCACGGUACCGCAUGGUACUGAGGGAAAAGGAUUUAUUCGCUUUAGGAUGGACUCGCGUCCAAUUAGCUAGUUGGUGAGGUAACCGG